rnacentral:rRNA from 1 species
CCUACGGGAGGCAGCAGUAGGGAAUCUUGCACAAUGGGCGAAAGCCUGAUGCAGCAACGCCGCGUGAAGGAUGAAGGCCUUCGGGUUGUAAACUUCUGUUCUAAGGGAAGAAAGAAAUGACGGUACCUUAGGAGCAAGCCCCGGCUAACUACGUGCCAGCAGCCGCGGUAAUACGUAGGGGGCAAGCGUUAUCCGGAAUUAUUGGGCGUAAAGAGUGCGUAGGUGGUUACCUAAGCGCAAGGUUUAAAUUAGAGGCUCAACCUCUACAUGCCUUGCGGACUGGGCUACUUGAGUGCAGGAGGGGAAAGCGGAAUUCCUAGUGUAGCGGUGAAAUGCGUAGAUAUUAGGAGGAACACCGGCGGCGAAGGCGGCUUUCUGGACUGUAACUGACACUGAGGCACGAAAGCGUGGGUAGCAAACAGGAUUAGAUACCCUUGUAGUC